AGCGAACGCUGGCGGCAGGCUUAACACAUGCAAGUCGAACGGGCAUCUUCGGAUGUCAGUGGCAGACGGGUGAGUAACACGUGGGAACGUACCCUUCGGUUCGGAAUAACUCAGGGAAACUUGAGCUAAUACCGGAUACGCCCUUUUGGGGAAAGGUUUACUGCCGAAGGAUCGGCCCGCGUCUGAUUAGCUUGUUGGUGGGGUAACGGCCUACCAAGGCGACGAUCAGUAGCUGGUCUGAGAGGAUGAUCAGCCACACUGGGACUGAGACACGGCCCAGACUCCUACGGGAGGCAGCAGUGGGGAAUAUUGGACAAUGGGCGCAAGCCUGAUCCAGCCAUGCCGCGUGAGUGAUGAAGGCCUUAGGGUUGUAAAGCUCUUUUGUCCGGGACGAUAAUGACGGUACCGGAAGAAUAAGCCCCGGCUAGCUUCGUG
rnacentral:rRNA from 1 species